AGGGUAAUAGUUAAAUUAUAACAUUUGAUUUGCAUUCAAAAAAUAUUGAAUCUCAAUUUACCUU
rnacentral:tRNA from 1 species